CAAAAAUGACACCGGGAAAAUCUGACAGGACUGAGAUGAUGACAACAGCGCAGCGGGGUUUUAGAAGCCCAUCAGAGUGAUUUUCCGAGUUCUUUCACAUGCUGUAUGGUCAGCGAAUGGAUGGAUUAUCCAGUCAAGGUACAGAAUGAAAGACUUGACUGAGUUAGAAGAAGCUGGGCGACUCUUCAGAGUGAAGAUGUUAUGAUGCAGUUAUGUCAAAGCACUCAUUUCAGCUGGCCAGAUUGGAACAGACCUGAAUGGGAAGAUGGCAGAGCUAAGACUGACAAUGUCCAGGAAAAAUGUUAACUAAAAAUGAGUGUUUUUCCUCAGCGAGUGAGUUUGGGAAUGUUUAAAUGUGCCUAAAAGUUUGAAAAUGUAAUACUGAGGUAAAAAAGUGAGCGCUUUGAAAAGGCUUUAAAAAGAAAAUAAAGUCUGAAGUUGAUGGUAAAUGAAUUUAAAGUUUUUACUUGAAAAGUUUGUACUUGUUUGUACUUGUCAAGUCUGUGCUGAAAAAAAUGGAGUAAAGUUUGUAUUUGAAAAGACUUGGAAUUGUGUGUUCUGUAGAAUGAGUACACAUAUAUGUGCAGGCUGUAUAAACAACAUAGUUGUGCCACUAAUAUAAGUGUCAUGGUUCUGCCAUCUUGUCCUUUGUUUAAUCUAGUCUUGUGGCAGAAUCAUGACAGACCCAUGUUUUGUGUGGGUUCAUGUGGUCUUGGUAUUGAUUUACUAGACCACGUGUUCCCAGUGUCUUGUCUCUUUUACCCCGCUCCCUUGUCAUCCUCCUCAUUAUUGUUUAAUUCCUGUCACCUGUUGCCCUCAUUAGUUGUCCUCUAUUUAAGAUCCUUGUGUUCAUUGUCCUGUGCUUGUGCAUUGUUUCUGUGUUCCUAAAACCUGUGAGUACCCUGUCUCAGUUAAUCUAGUCAUAGUCAAGUGUGAGUUAUAUAGUGUUUUGUCAAGUUUAGUGUUUAAUGUCACAGUCCAGUCUUGUCUAGUUUAGUGUUCAUUUAGUAUCUUGUUUAUGUUGUUUUGCCCCCUCGUGGGUUUUGUUUUCUGUUUAUUGUACAAAUAAAGUCUUAAGUGUUCUUCAUCUCAGUCUGCAUUUGGGUUCAUUCCUUCAAACCAUAACAGAAUGCACAAGCCAAUACAGAACCCAGCAGACAACCCGUGUCGUCCCGCCAGGCGGCAGUCGGCUGACCUAGAACUUUGGUGGCAGUCGACUGCCGCCGACAUGAAGAUGGGCAAGGCCCCAUUUCCUCCCCAGCAAGAGAGGACCCUGAGGGGGUAUGCCCAGUAUGUGGAAGCGAGGAGGGUUUUGUUGCCAGAGACCCUCCUCAACUCCUACUUUAUCGCGGGU